GGCAAAGGUUAUGUGAUCAAGCGCCAUGUUACAGUGGUUUCCCGGUUAUUAGACUCAACAUGGAUUUGUACUCAAACAACUGAAAAUAAACAAACAAGACACACGUUCCGCAGAAAACACCCAUUCAGUAGCACAACAAGACCCUGUGUCUAUGGACAGACCAUAAGGAGUCGCUUCAACAACGGUCCUUCCCCUACAACAAGCUCGCUUCAACGGGUCAUAUUGCUCAACUGUUCAUCCUGCUUUUUACCUGACGAAACGUACAGUAAAUCAAACACAUCAGGAGGAAAUAACCAUAAAAGAGAAGACACAAGCCAACUUUAGCUAUCAACUAAGAGAACAAACAGACGAGACUUCAAAGGAAUCGGCUUUUAUAAUUGAAAUUAAGUUGUGUGAAGAUGGGACCUAUCAUGAUGCCUGCCGGUGUCGAUGGACAUCUGACAAUAAAGCCGCGUGCAACAAUCAAAGAAAUGUUUCUGUUUGUGAGGCUGACCACUCCGAAAUGCGUUUCUCCCUUUUUGUCGAGCGGACCCACAGCGGUGUCUUGUGGGAACUCUACAGAAAACAAUCGACUCUUCUUGUGUUGAAAAACACAAAAUUACAAGUCACAUACCCGGCAAAAGUGACAGGGUUGCAGGUGAAUGGAAAAGAAGCUAACGAGACGCACAUUAUUGACGAAAAAAGAAAAGUGAGCAUCUCUUGUUCCUUCACCAACGGAAAUCCUCUGGUACCUGUUCACCUGUGGGACGACACGGGGCGCGGGCAGAGUUCCACGAGUCACGGGGAGGGUCCCCUCACUCUGUCUCUCGGAGUCUUUCACUGUCACGAGGUGUGGCCGACUGUCAGGUGCGAGGCGCGGGGAUCGGAGCUCAAUCGAUCUGUCACCCUCCUCGGUAGAUGUGUUCCUAAGCUUUCACACGUUCGUUCUCAGUUUUUAGAAUUAAGUAGGGUUCUAGAAAAAGGUUUGAAACUGAGACUGAGGUCAUACACAACAAAUAUCAGGAAAUGUUUGCUGACAAAGUUGCCCCCUGAGCCAAUCUCUGGGGAAGUGACGUGUGAAUUAAGCGGAAGUGUCCCGGAGUUGACCCUAACUCUGCACCUUGCUUCAACCUUGUGGAUUGGUGAAGGGAUUUGGACAUUACAUGCCUUAACAGAACUUGGCGAUUCAAAUAUCACUUUUGUGCUCAUCAAUGGCACUGUUGGUGAUCGAGGUCCUGCAAUAAUAAACGGCAAUAACAGGACAAUGACGGGUGAGUAAAAUUUUUUUUUUGAAAUGUAUUGUUCUUUUAAAUAAAGUGGUAAUGUUGUGUACUUUCUAUUAUCAUUGUCUGUUUUUCUUCUUUGGUCCCUCUCUCACAAAAUCUUUUCAUUUUUUUCACUGUCAUUCUGUCUCUUUGUAUCCCUCUCAAUUUGCUUGCGUUGUCUUUACUAUUCAUGUGGACCAUCGUUUGUAGAAACAUUGAAAACAUUUAAUAUUCAGAUAUGUUUUGACUCCAUGUUAGCCAUAUGGUUAUUUUUUAUGAAAUGUGCUUAAAUUAAUAAAUUACUCUUAAUUAUAAUAAAACUAAGUAAGUAAAAGAUUUAUAAAUAGAAAAAAACCAAAUGAUAAAAAUAAGUGAUUGAAAAUGAGAGAUGGCAUUACUACUUAUUCUCAGUACUAGGUGAACGAUCAAAUUUUGAAAAAAGAGAUUAAGGUUAAUACUUAUUUGUCCCUUUCACAGCAACUAUCAUACUUCUGUGUGAUUUGCUUGCAAUACUUGCUUUUCUUUAAAAUGUUCUUCUAUAUAACCUUUGUCGUCCUGUAACGGACAGAGAUAUAUCAAUAGCCAUAAACACAGACACCGUAGAGACUGUUAUAGAAUGUUAGCUGAUAAAGGUGAGAUUAAAGUCCGCUCGUACCCGGCAGAGCCCGGGUCAUACAUAUUAGAUAGGUCAACGACGGAGCAGGGAGAAUUCGGCGACGGAUAGUUUUCCACUCGCGGCGAGGCAAACACCCGUAUGUUGGUGACGUGAGGGACCUGAGCCGAACUUUGUCGAUCCUGAAGUUGCACACACUGGUUUGUCUUCUUAAAGCAACAUUGAUUUCGCAAUGGAUGUUUAUUUCUUCUGAGAGCUAUAAACCCUGCGUAAAUCCAGUUUAAUGAUUCAUAAUUUGGAGUAGAUGUUGGCCGGAAUUUAUUUGUAAAAUUUUAGAUGUGACAGAAAAACAUCAGACGAUUACAAUAGCGUGAUAACUGAGCUCGCGUCAAGGAAUACGAUUGCUCUGAAAACGAGGUUUGUAAACACAUGGCUUGUGCAUGAGAGCUGUCGGCUUUUAUGCGAAAUCACGACACCGUUCAGGGGAUCACCUGGUGAGUACCGCUGUAUUCAAAAUGAUUAUUUAUUUCAAAAUAUACUGGAAUGUUGAUCUCAGAUAGCAGACGUUGAAAAUAGUGAGUGAUAGUAAGAUGUUUCUUUAAUUUACACAAUUUUUUUUUCUCUCAGCUUAGUGAGUAAAUGUACUUUAUACUUCUCGUCGCUAUAAUGACCCACAAUGGAACACUUGAUAUACCCGACACAACAUACAACUCAAAAUCAGCCACCAUUUUAUUAUUUUAGAUAAAUACGUUAAUAAAGAUACAGAGUAACCAUCUGAAGCUGUCAAGGUUAAGUAUAAUCCGUAAAUACCUUUAGAGAACUUUGCUAUUCUGUUGUUAGUAUCUACCUUGUUUUCCCUAGCAAGUAAGCCAGUUGUGUCUGGCCAGGUGUUCUCGCUGUCACACGGAUCUUUCCCGUGACUCUGUGACCCUGGCGCUUUCUUUGCCUUCUACAGUUUCAGCUCAUGAGUUUGUCAAGCAGUCUUUCUCUCUCCUUGUUUGUAUAUCUAAAUCAGGUUUUGCGUUUGCACGUCGAUAGCAAAAUAAACCUGCAGAGGUUUGACUUGUAGAUAGGCUUAUUCUGAAUAUUCUUAAUUAAUCUCUCCUUGAGAUGAUGUAAGCAUCUGCAGGUCUAAAUGGUAAAUCCUGGAAGGUAAAAAGUGAAACUAGGCUAUAAAGACAACUGUGGUCCAUAAUUUUCUUUAGUCUUCGGGAUAUUUUCCAUAAUAAACUAGGAACAUUUUGAAAUGGUUGCAUUUGUUCUGCUUUUAACAGGCAUUGGAUAAGGAAGUACUUUGUUUAAUCUGUCUACCUAGUCACUAAAUAAGACAGCGCCAUACUGUUUCCUAGUCCAAACUUUAUCUCUUCUCAUUUCCUAUUGUUUUGACUGGGUUCUCUCGUAUCUUCGAAUCACGAUUCUUUUUCUUAUUAUUUGUAAAGCGUAAUCAGCUAGUCUGCUAGUUCAUAAAGUUAGAACUUGAAGCGAGAUAAGUGAGUUUCUUUUUUAGUAGUUAUAAACGUUUAUCAUGUGCACAGGUUUAUCGGUAUCUAAAAUGGUGCAACAUCCUAUUUUCAUGUAAUGAUCUGAUAAAGAAAAGUUAGGUACGUAAAUGCAUUUUGACCAAUGAGCUUGCAAAAACCUAUGUAAGAGACAUUUUAUUAAUACUAUUUUUUUAUAUUUUAACUUAAGAAAUAUUUCAAGCAGCUUUCAUUAUCAUGAUGAGUAUUUUAUGGUAAGAAAUAUAUUUCCCUGUUAAUUACAGGCUUGAGAUGAAAGGAAUAACGAUAUGUCUACUCCUGUUCCUUGUUCGACAAGGUAACACAGCUACAGAAUGCAACACAAUAAAAGAAAGAGCAAUACAAUGCAAAUUUACGAAUGACAUCUCUUCUACUAAAACUAGCUUUGCAGUAUAUUUUCUAUCACAAGAUGGGAAAAAAGAGCUGCUGAUUGACUGUGUAUGGGUGGACGACAAGCUUGAGUGCAUCGAGCAGAUAGGUUUUGAGUGCCAGCAGCCGGUGUCAAACAUUGCUGAGAUCAGCGUGCCUCCACGAUUUACAAGCAAACCUGGAUCAUACUUAUGUCUACUUGAAGGUCACAUCACCCAAGACUCCAAACCCUGUCAUUUUUUCGAAAACCAGCAUAAGAACCAAACCGAAUUAGUUGAGGACAACGUAGACGUAAGCCACCCUGAUCAAAAAGAAAAAGGCAUUUCUACAACAACGAUUUUCGCCAUCUCUGGAACUCUGUUAGGAUGUGUUGCCAUUGGCAUUGUGACUGUGAUACUGGUUAGGCGAUGGAAGACGAAAAAUUAUUUAAAACAUGAACGUGAGAAAUCCUAUCAAUUCAGCAAAAUUGACAUUAUGGACAUGGAUUCACGGCUGGCAGACGAAAGAGGUCGUAUGCAUGCAAUGGACAGAACGUCAAGCCACUUUCUGUGAACUAUAAUAAAAAAACAACAGGCUAUGCUAGAGAAAAUUAUGAAUUAAAUAAUCAAAAACUUUCUUUAGAAUUAUAUCCUGCAAUAUUCCAGGUAACCUUUAUUACUUUUUAAAUGACUUUCUUUUCAAUUUUAUUUUAGUAAUGCAUUGUAAGCACAUUACUCCAUGUAACUGAAUCACAUUUGCAUAGUGAAAAAUAUUCAAUAUCUAAAAAUUUAGCUCUUUACUGGGUGAUAUUGGAAGUUCUCUCAAUCAUCUUUCUUCCGAACUAAGCUAGAAUAACUAGUAACAGACACAUAUAUAAUCACACAGAACUCAGCCAGCAUCUUAUGUGUGUGUGUGUCGAGUAGCAGAGGCUAUGCUCAGACAUAGCGUCUCGUGUGUGUGCAUAUAGAGUAGUAGAGGCUAUGGAGCUUUGACCUAGUCAGUCUCCUGUGUGUAUAUAGAGUAGUCGAGGCUAUGCUCAGACAUAGCAUCUCGUGUGUGUGUGUGUAUAGAGUAGUAGAGGCUAUGCUCCGACAUAGCAUCUCGUGUGUGUGUGUGUAGAGUAGUAGAGGCUAUGCUCCGACAUAGCAUCUCGUGUGUGUGUAUAUAGAGUAGUCGAGGCCCUUGAGCUUUGACCUAGUCAGUCUCCUGUGUGUAUAUAGAGUAGUCGAGGCUAAGCUCCGACAUAGCAUCUCGUGUGUGUGUAUAUAGAGUAGUCGAGGCCCUUGAGCUUUGACCUAGUCAGUCUCCUGUGUGUAUAGAGUAGUCGAGGCUAUGCUCCGACAUAGCAUCUCGUGUGUGUGUAUAUAGAGUAGUCGAGGCCCUUGAGCUUUGACCUAGUCAGUCUCCUGUGUGUAUAUAGAGUAGUCGAGGCUAAGCUCCGACAUAGCAUCUCGUGUGUGUGUGUAGAGUAGUAGAGGCUAUGCUCCGACAUAGCAUCUCGUGUGUAUGUAUAUAGAGUAGUCGAGGCCCUUGAGCUUUGACCUAGUUAGUCUCCUGUGUGUAUAGAGUAGUCGAGGCUAUGCUCCGACAUAGCAUCUCGUGUGUGUGUGUGUAGAGUAGUAGAGGCUAUGCUGAGACAUUGCAUCUCGUGUGUGUGUGUGUAGAGUAGUAGAGGCUAAGCUCCGACAUAGCAUCUCGUGUGUGUGUGUGUAUAUAGAGUAGUAGAGGCUAUGCUCCGACAUAGCGUCUCGUGUGGGUGUAUAGAGUAGCAUUGGCUACCCAGCUCAGACAUAGCGUAUUUUGUGUGUGUGUGUGUAGAGUAGCAAUGGCUACCAAUCUCCGUCUUAGUCAUCAUAUUGUUUAUGUGUGCGUACAGGGUUGUGGUUUCUACCAAGCCCUUCUAAGCGUAUUGUGUGUGUAAUGCGGAGGUUACCAAGCUCUGACUCAGCGACUGUUGUAUAUGUUAUAUAUAAAGUUUUGGAGUCUGCCGAGCUCCGACACAGUUUGUCUUGUGUAUGUCCCUAGUGGUCAGUGAAACACAUCUAUCACUAAGUUUCUUGUGUGUGUUCAAAGUUUUGGAGGCCAAAGAGCCCCAAUUCAAAAGGUGUAGGCACAAAAAGAGUCCUGACUCACCGUUUUGUGUGUGUUCGGAGUUGUGUUUCGCUUUUUUCCUCGUUUAGGUAGUAAGAACUGCUUCUAGAGUAGUUCUGAAGUUGUGCUGUUGAUGAUUAUUUGCUGUCAGCGUAUGCCGGUGAUUUGCAAGCUUGCAUACAAAAGAAUGCUGUUCUAUAUAGCUGUAAAUAAAAAUGCUUGUUCGAAAUAA